rnacentral:rRNA from 1 species
GACGAACGCUGGCGGCGUGCUUAACACAUGCCAGUCGAACGGAAAGGCCCUGCUUGCAGGGUACUCGAGUGGCGAACGGGUGAGUAACACGUGGGUGAUCUGCCCUGCACUUCGGGAUAAGCCUGGGAAACUGGGUCUAAUACCGGAUAGGAGCCAUUUUUAGGGUGAUGGUUGGAAAGUUUUUUCGGUGUAGGAUGAGCUCGCGGCCUAUCAGCUUGUUGGUGGGGUAAUGGCCUACCAAGGCGGCGACGGGUAGCCGGCCUGAGAGGGUGGACGGCCACAUUGGGACUGAGAUACGGCCCAGACUCCUACGGGAGGCAGCAGUGGGGAAUAUUGCACAAUGGGCGCAAGCCUGAUGCAGCGACGCCGCGUGGGGGAGGACGGCCUUCGGGUUGUAAACUCCUUUCGCUAGGGACGAAGCUUUUUGUGACGGUACCUAGAUAAGAAGCACCGGCUAACUACGUG